rnacentral:tRNA from 1 species
AUUUAGAUAGUUUAUAAAAAUAUUAAUCUGUGGAAUUAAAGUUAACAAGAGUUUCUAAAUC